rnacentral:rRNA from 1 species
GGGAUGGACGCACCGCUGGUGUACCAGUUGUUCUGCCAAGGGCAUCGCUGGGUAGCUAUGUGCGGACGGGAUAAGUGCUGAAAGCAUCUAAGCAUGAAGCCCCCCUCAAGAUGAGAUUUCCCAUUCCUAUAAGGAAGUAAGAUCCCUGAAAGAUGAUCAGGUUGAUAGGUCUGAGGUGGAAGUGUGGCGACACAUGGAGCUGACAGAUACUAAUCGAUCGAGGACUUAACCUAA